GUUGGCUGGUACUAAUGAGGAAGAGUGGAGGAUCACAUAGCAUUUGCUGACAAGGUUUGAAAGUGGCAUCUUUCGCUACUCUCCGUAUCCCAUUGACCAGAUUAACAUGGCUACAACCCAGGACAAGGAAGAAAAAUAGUGGACUUAGGGGAAUCUAGCCAGUCUUGGCCACAUCGCCCAAAUUUUUCAUGGGAGUGAGGAAAGAACAUGGUUCGGAUAGAUGUGCCAGAGGAAAUGCACCAGGAAAUCCUGAGCAGGGUGCAAUCAGUCACCAUUAAUGCUCACAAGUGUCAAAGCUACUUGGAGAAAUACAGCUACUUAUGGAUGGACGAUAAAAUUGAAUUCAUGAAGCAGUUCCUUCUCCAUGAGCGAUUUCUUAGUGCUGAAGAACUAGAAUUGCAGGCGGACUGUGAGUGUCAGAACUCCACACUGCAGUUAGCACACUUUACAGAACAGGGCUAUCUACAGGGGAUGCACUGGACCCCAUUGGGACAUUUCAAAAGUAGUUAGAAAACUGCUUCUCUGGCGCCUUGCAGGAGAACUCAAGUGUCCAGAACAGAAGCCUUCCAAGGGGAGUGGGGACACUUCCACAACCUGCUCCUUCUUCUGAGGUUCAAAAGUGACCUAAAAUGCAAUUAUACAUAUAUAUAAAGUUAAGAAUGUGAAGGAACUUUCUUCUUUGGCAGAUGCGUGCCCUUUUUUCUCGUUCCAAAUUAAAAUGAGCUGGAAGAGUACUUACUGCUUGGCUGUACGCAGCUGUUCAGAUGUGUAAGAAGACAGCUAGCUCCACUAAAGAUUAAUGUGUAUUAAAUUCUUGCUCCAGAAUGUCAGUAACACUGAAAUUUGAGGCUUUUGUCUGUCGCUUCUAGCCUAUAGCAUGAUUAGAAAAAGCAACAUAGGUACAAUAAUAGCAAUGAAUGUUAAAGGAGUGCCUGCGAUCUCAUCUUCACGGAAGCCCUAUUGUUAUCAUCGGUCCCAUUUUAUAGAUGAGGAAACUGAGUUUUGGAGCUGUUUGGUGUCUUAGCCAUAGGCUCUCACAGUUAGUAAGCAGUGGAACCGGGAGCUGAGGAAUCCAGCUACUGCAGAGACCGCAGGAGGGGAAAUCUUUGUACCAUUGUAUUAAUAGUGCCGUUGACAUGACUUUAUCUGGAACGUUAGAAUUUUUAUCAAGUGAUUCUUAAAUAACAUUUAAUUAGAGACCAGUUAUAAAAUUUGACUCCCCAGAGUAAAAUCUGAGGUUUAGGCUCCACUUUCAUCACCAAGACUAAGGCAGGGUAGAAGCUACAAUACUCAUAUCAGGAAUCUGGAGUUUUUCUCAAGCUCAGCUUCUGAGAAAUUUGCAGACUUGUAAGAAAUAAAAACAAGGGACCUUUCA
rnacentral:lncRNA from 13 species